AUUGAACGCUGGCGGCAUGCCUUACACAUGCAAGUCGAACGGUAACAGGUCUUCGGAUGCUGACGAGUGGCGAACGGGUGAGUAAUACAUCGGAACGUGCCCAGUAGUGGGGGAUAACUACUCGAAAGAGUGGCUAAUACCGCAUGAGAUCUACGGAUGAAAGCAGGGGAUCGCAAGACCUUGUGCUACUAGAGCGGCCGAUGGCAGAUUAGGUAGUUGGUGGGAUAAAAGCUUACCAAGCCGACGAUCUGUAGCUGGUCUGAGAGGACGAUCAGCCAGACUGGGACUGGGAAACGGCCCAGACUCCUACGGGAGGCAGCAGUGGGGAAUUUUGGACAAUGGGCGCAAGCCUGAUCCAGCAAUGCCGCGUGCAGGAUGAAGGCCUUCGGGUUGUAAACUGCUUUUGUACGGAACGAAAAGCCCCGGGUUAAUACCCUGGGGUCAUGACGGUACCGUAAGAAUAAGCACCGGCUAACUACGUGCCAGCAGCCGCCGUAA
rnacentral:rRNA from 1 species